rnacentral:rRNA from 1 species
CCUACGGGGGGCUGCAGUAGGGAAUAUUGGGCAAUGGACGAAAGUCUGACCCAGCCAUCCCGCGUGAAGGAUGAAGGUCUAUGGUUCGUAAACUUCUUUUAUUGGGGAAGCGGUACCCAAUGAAUAAGCACCGGCUAACUCCGUGCCAGCAGCCGCGGUAAUACGGAGGGUGCAAGCGUUAUCCGGAUUCACUGGGUUUAAAGGGUGCGUAGGCGGCUUUAUAAGUCAUUGGUGAAAGCUCGCAGCUUAACUGUGAAACUGCCAAUGAAACUGUUUAGCUUGAAUGUGGUUGAAGUGGGCGGAAUACAACAUGUAGCGGUGAAAUGCUUAGAUAUGUUGUAGAACACCGAUUGCGAAGGCAGCUCACUAAGCCAAUAUUGACGCUGAGGCACGAAAGCGUGGGUAGCGAACAGGAUUAGAUACCCUUGUAGUC